rnacentral:rRNA from 1 species
AUUGAACGCUGGCGGCAGGCCUAACACAUGCAAGUCGAGCGGAUGAAGGGAGCUUGCUCCUGGAUUCAGCGGCGGACGGGUGAGUAAUGCCUAGGAAUCUGCCUGGUAGUGGGGGAUAACGUCCGGAAACGGGCGCUAAUACCGCAUACGUCCUGAGGGAGAAAGUGGGGGAUCUUCGGACCUCACGCUAUCAGAUGAGCCUAGGUCGGAUUAGCUAGUUGGUGGGGUAAAGGCCUACCAAGGCGACGAUCCGUAACUGGUCUGAGAGGAUGAUCAGUCAAACUGAAACGGAGACACGGUCAGGCCUCCUACGGGGGGCAGCGGUGGGGAAUUUUGGAAAAUGGGCGAAAGCCUGACCCAGCCAUGCCGGGUGUGUGAAGAAGGUCUUCGGUUGGUAAAGCCCUUUAAGUUGGGAGGAAGGGCAGUAAGUUAAUACCUUGCUGUUUUGCAGUUACCAACAAAAUAAGCACCGGCGAACUUCGG